CCUACGGGGAGCAGCAGUGGGGAAUAUUGGACAAUGGGCGAAAGCCUGAUCCAGCCAUGCCGCGUGUGUGAAGAAGGCCUUCGGGUUGUAAAGCACUUUCAGUGGGGAAGAAAGCCUUGGGGCUAAUACCCUCGAGGAAGGACAUCACCCACAGAAGAAGCACCGGCUAACUCCGUGCCAGCAGCCGCGGUAAUACGGAGGGUGCGAGCGUUAAUCGGAAUUACUGGGCGUAAAGCGCGCGUAGGCGGUCUGAUAAGCCGGUUGUGAAAGCCCCGGGCUCAACCUGGGAACGGCAUCCGGAACUGUCAGGCUAGAGUGCAGGAGAGGAAGGUAGAAUUCCCGGUGUAGCGGUGAAAUGCGUAGAGAUCGGGAGGAAUACCAGUGGCGAAGGCGGCCUUCUGGACUGACACUGACGCUGAGGUGCGAAAGCGUGGGUAGCAAACAGGAUUAGAUACCCCAGUAUC
rnacentral:rRNA from 1 species